UACGAAGGGGGCUAGCGUUGCUCGGAAUUACUGGGCGUAAAGCGCACGUAGGCGGCUUCUUAAGUCGGGGGUGAAAUCCCGGAGCUCAACUCCGGAACUGCCUUCGAUACUGGGAAGCUCGAGUCCGGGAGAGGUGAGUGGAACUGCGAGUGUAGAGGUGAAAUUCGUAGAUAUUCGCAGGAACACCAGUGGCGAAGGCGGCUCACUGGUCCGAUACUGACGCUGAGGUGCGAAAGCGUGGGGAGCAAACAGG
rnacentral:rRNA from 1 species